GAGAGAGAGAGAGAGAGAGAGUGGAGCAGUCUGUAAAUGUUUAAAUUAAGUUAGGAGGUACCUUAUCACAACUUUGAUAAGCCCUUUCCUUUUCCAUGACAGAAAACACAUUUUUAAACUGAGCUUCUCUGACUGGGCUUUCAAGUGUUAACCAGAUAGCAAACAUUUUGAUAUAAAAGGACUCUAUACUUUUUUUAGUAUACGUUUAUCAUAUGUUAUAAAUGCAUGGGUGUUUUAGGGGAUCUCGCUCAAGGACUUUGCUUGCUCUCAAAACAUAUCCCGCAAUGUUACGAGACAAACUCCAAUCAACAGAUGAAGUUCCAGAAUAGAAUGCGGCCGCGUAAUGGCCGACCCAACCGUGAGGGCCCGCUGCUGCUGCAGUUGCGGGCGUUCUGACCUUAUCACCGCCACGACCCAGGAGGACAUCAGGUACCAGCCUGGAUGCAAGGUCAUCAUUGACCCUCACAGGGAGUUUGGAUGAGCCCAAGGUCAGCCUCUCCCUGGGCUGGUGAUGAUGAGGAUGCAGAGGAGGAGGAGGAGGAAGACAACGACGACGAUGAGGAUGAUGAUGAUGAUGAAGAUUUGGAUAUUGUUGCACAGUACAACACCGUUGAGAAUUUUCCCCUGGUGCCUCGGACACUGUGACUGGGUCAUCCAAUCCGCAACGUGACACUGCAGGACGGAAAUGCCACCUAUAUGACUCCAUAUCCUCAGACAGAACCAGCAGUCAAUCCCGCCUCGGUUUGCAAAACAGUAGAAUUCAGCUGCGGCUGCUGAUGUGCGUGCGACUUUGCAUGGGUGCGGUCACACGCAUGCACACCUUUCAGCACCUGUCUGCCACCCCUAAGUUCGAUGCUGUUGCACUCGAAAACGCGCCAGCUGGCGACCGAGAGCAUGCACUUUAACACAACCUAAAACGCUUAAUGCUGGUUUAUAGUCCUCCGUAAAGUGCUGUACGUAGACACGGAGAGCACUCUCCGUCGCCGGAGAGCCUGUCGGAGACCCUCUCCGUAGCUUACGUGCGCAUCCAUUAUUUUUUUAACUUCCGUCAACGCAAAGGAGACGGACGGAGACGGCAAGGCCUGUGAAUGGUCCUCUAAUAAAAUCAUUUCCGGAAUCACUUUUUCCCAGUUUGACUUUGCGACUUGUUUACUUUGUACAUCGUUCACUUUGCACAUUAAGUACCAAUAAAACACCAAAUAAGAUUUGAAA